rnacentral:rRNA from 1 species
GUCCACGCCGUAAACGAUGGGUACUAGGCGUCGGGGGGAGCGACCCCUUCGGUGCCGUCGCUAACGCAGUAAGUACCCCGCCUGGGGGGUACGGCCGCAAGGCUGAAACUCAAAGGAAUUGACGGGGGCCCGCACAAGCGGUGGAGCAUGUGGUUUAAUUCGAAGCAACGCGAAGAACCUUACCUGGGCUUGACAUGCUGGUGUAAGCCGGUGGAAACAUCGGUCCCUCUUCGGAGCGCCAGCACAGGUGCUGCAUGGCUGUCGU